CCUACGGGGGGCAGCAGUGGGGAAUAUUGGGCAAUGGGCGCAAGCCUGACCCAGCAACGCCGCGUGAAGGAAGAAGGCUUUCGGGUUGUAAACUUCUUUUCUGAGGGACGAGGAAAGUGACGUUACCUCUGGAUUAAGCCACGGCUAACUCCGUGCCAGCAGCCGCGGUAAUACGUAGGUGGCAAGCGUUAUCCGGAUUUAUUGGGUGUAAAGGGCGUGUAGGCGGGAAAACAAGUCAGAUGUGAAAACUCAGGGCUCAACCCGGAGCCUGCAUUUGAAACUGUUUUUCUUGAGUGCUGGAGAGGCAAUCGGAAUUCCGUGUGUAGCGGUGAAAUGCGUAGAUAUACGGAAGAACACCAGUGGCGAAGGCGGAUUGCUGGACAGUAACUGACGCUGAGGCGCGAAAGCGUGGGGAGCAAACAGGAUUAGAUACCCGAGUAGUC
rnacentral:rRNA from 1 species